rnacentral:misc_RNA from 1 species
GAUGAAGAACGCAGCGAAAUGCGAUAAGUAGUGUGAAUUGCAGAAUUCAGUGAAUCAUCGAAUCUUUGAACGCACAUUGCGCCCGCCAGCAUUCUGGCGGGCAUGCCUGUUCGAGCGUCAUUUCAACCCUCGCAGCCCAUCUGGGCAGCGGUGUUGGGGACCGGCACCACCGGCGAAGCCCUUAGGGGCCCAGCCGGCGCCGCCCCCGAAAUACAGUGGCGGUCUCGCUGCAGCCUCCCUUGCGUAGUAGCACACCUCGCACCGGAGCGCAGCGCGGCCACGCCGUAAAACCCCCGACUUUCUGAGUUUGACCUCGAAUCAGGUAGGAAUACCCGCUGAACUUAAGCAUAUCAAUAAGCGGAGGA